AUUGAACGCUGGCGGCAGGCCUAACACAUGCAAGUCGAACGAGUGGCGGACGGGUGAGUAAUGUCUGGGAAACUGCCCGAUGGAGGGGGAUAACUCCUGGAAACGGUAGCUAAUACCGCAUACCAUCGGAUGUUCCCAGAUGGGAUUAGCUAGUAGGUGGGGUAACGGCUCACCUAGGCGACGAUCCCUAGCUGGUCUGAGAGGAUGACCAGCCACACUGGAACUGAGACACGGUCCAGACUCCUACGGGAGGCAGCAGUGGGGAAUAUUGCACAAUGGGCGAAAGCCUGACGCAGCAAUGCCGCGUGAAUGAAGAAGGCCUUCGGGUUGUAAAGUACUUUCAGCGAGGAGGCGUUACUCGCAGAGGAAGCACCGGCUAACUCCGUGCCAGCAGCCGCGGUAAUAC
rnacentral:rRNA from 1 species